ACUACGUCAUUAUGUCUCUCAGAACCGUGACUUAGAAUCUCAUUGUUUUUUCAGAGACUUCUGAGAUGAAUCGCGAGAUGGAUUUUUUAACUAUACCCGAGAGCUACUGUCACGAAUCGGAGAAUCACCGCCAGACACAGGAAAAAAAAAAGGGCUUUGCCUUUUCAUAAAACCGGUGCGUCAGGUUGUCUGGUAACUGCCCUACGUUUUUGUUCUUCUGCCGGGGAAGUGUCGAUUCAGCUCUUUGGUCAUCGUUUGAGGCCUUAAACACGUGUCUUCGCAUCAGACUAAACGUGAAGACGGAUCCGAACGAUCAUUGCAAGAACUGAGACGAUGAGAACAGCAACACGUGACAGAGACAGUACAUAACGAUCAACUUAAACGAGUCUGGGAAACAUUAUUUGCAACCGCAUCACAGCUGCGGGAAGAAAAAGGCGAGGUCAGAAGGGUCCAUAUUAGAACAUGUAAAGUUCUUUAUCCGGCAUUCGCUCA